rnacentral:pre_miRNA from 1 species
AAAGGAUGAAUCCAAAGGGAUCGCAUGAUCCAAAUUCAGUAUAAACAGUUUAACCCUAAAAUAAGAAACGAAGUUGAACUUAAAGAACACAGAAUCGAGAUCAAUGCGAUCCCUUUGGAUGCCUCCUU